rnacentral:rRNA from 1 species
GCGACCUCAGGUCAGGUGG